rnacentral:lncRNA from 1 species
AUAUCAUAUUCUGUAGGGUAUCGUCAUACCCGACUUGGAAGUCAUCAAUAUCACAUCCACAUAUGCGUAAUCAUGUAAAAACCAAGGUGCUUCAUCAUUUACAAGUGGUGAACAGUAAUUAUUUCAAAUUCAUGCUCUCUUUUGUUGGUCACAAUAUGAUAUGGGGUAUCAAGACAUUAUCAUGGGAAUUUGAAAGCAAUUUAUCAUUCAUAUUUAUCAAACUUCCAUGGAAAAUAUCAAAUCACAUAUGCAUGGUUUCAACCAUUGAAGUAUAUAGGCAAACAAUUCCCAUGACAUAAAGAAAAAUGACUUAGAAAUCAUAUUGAAAGCAAGUUAUUAGCAUUUGAUUGAAAAUCCUCAUUUAAAAGCAUGCAUGUUCAUAAAAACUACACCCAUGAGAUUUUAGGAUAACCCCACAUACCUCGAUUACUAUGAAUAUUAGAUGCUUCUUAAAGCCUACGCUGAGAGGAUUCCAAAUAUGAAAU